AGAAAAGUAAGCUAAUUUAAGCUAAUGGGUUCAUACCCCAUAAAUAGAGAUUUUCUCUCUUCUCUA
rnacentral:tRNA from 1 species